rnacentral:rRNA from 1 species
GACGAACGCUGGCGGCGUGCCUAAUACAUGCAAGUAGAACGCUGAAGGAGGAGCUUGCUUCUCUGGAUGAGUUGCGAACGGGUGAGUAACGCGUAGGUAACCUGCCUGGUAGCGGGGGAUAACUAUUGGAAACGCUAGCUAAUACCGCAUAAGAGUAGAUGUCGCAUGACAUUUGCUUAAAAGGUGCAAUUGCAUCACUACCAGAUGGACCUGCGUUGUAUUAGCGAGUUGGUGAAGUAACGGCGCAACAAGGCAAAGAGACCGAGCCGACCCGAGAGGGGGAUCCGCCACCCCGGGACCGGGACCAGGGCCCGACCCCCUCCGGAGGGCGCCGUAAGGGAAUCUUCGCAAAUGAGCGAAGGCCGAACGAGCAACGCCGGGUGAGUGAAGAAGGGUCUCGGGUCGUUAAGCUCCGGUGUUAGAGAAGAACGAGUGUGGGAGUGGAAAGUUCACACUGUGACGGUAUCUUACCAGAAAGGGACGGCUAACUACGUG